rnacentral:rRNA from 1 species
UACGAAGGGUGCAAACGUUGCUCGGAAUUAUUGGGCGUAAAGCGCACGUAGGCGGCUUAGCAAGUCGGAAGUGAAAUCCCUCGGCUCAACCAAGGAAGUGCUUUCGAAACUGCUGGUCUGGAGGUCGAGAGAGGUGAGUGGAAUUCCGAGUGUAGAGGUGAAAUUCGUAGAUAUUCGGAGGAACACCAGUGGCGAAGGCGGCUCACUGGCUCGAUACUGACACUGAAGCACGAAAGCGUGGGGAGCAAACAGG